UACAGAGGUCCCGAGCGUUUGUUCGGAUUCAUUGGGCGUAAAGGGUGCGUAGGCGGCGGGGCAAGUCUGAUGUGAAAUCCCGGGGCUCAACCCCGGAACUGCAUUGGAUACUGCCUUGCUUGAGUACUGGAGAGGGAACUGGAAUUUACGGUGUAGCAGUGAAAUGCGUAGAGAUCGUAAGGAAGGCCAGUGGCGAAGGCGAGUUCCUGGACAGUUACUGACGCUGAGGCACGAAGGCCAGGGGAGCAAACGGG
rnacentral:rRNA from 1 species